GCCUUCUUAGCUUAGACGGUAGAGCAUCCGCUUCGUAAGCGGGAGGUCGUCGGUUCGAUUCCGGCAGAGGGCU
rnacentral:tRNA from 1 species